rnacentral:rRNA from 1 species
GACGGAGGAUGCAAGCGUUAUCCGGAAUGAUUGGGCGUAAAGCGUCCGCAGGUGGCAGUUCAAGUCUGCUGUCAAAGACCGGGGCUUAACUUCGGAAAGGCAGUGGAAACUGAACAGCUAGAGUAUGGUAGGGGCAGAGGGAAUUCCUGGUGUAGCGGUGAAAUGCGUAGAUAUCAGGAGGAACACCAGUGGCGAAGGCGGCUCACUGGCCCGGUACUGACGCUGAGGUGCGAAAGCGUGGGGAGCAAACAGG